UCCGGCUUAUCACCGGCAGUUUCUUUAGAGUGCCCAACUAAAUGAUAGCAACUAAAGACGAGGGUUGCGCUCGUUGCGGGACUUAACCCAACAUUUCACAACACGAGCUGACGACAGCCGUGCACCACCUGUGUAUCACCUUCGAAAGCGACUGCUUUUCGGCAGCUUGCAGAUACAUGUCAAGCCCUGGUAAGGUUCUUCGCGUUGCAUCGAAUUAAGCCAUAUGCUCCACCGCUUGUGCGGGCCCCCGCCAAUUCCUUUGAGUUUUAACCUUGCGGCCGUACUCCCCAGGCGGAUAACUUAAUGCGUUAGCUGCGCCACCAAAACCCUAUGGGCCCUGACAGCUAGUUAUCAACGUUUACGGCGUGGACUAC
rnacentral:misc_RNA from 1 species